rnacentral:miRNA from 1 species
UCACUCCGUGACAUCUCCCCCUCAAGGGGGGAGAUUGGCCGCAACCGCUGCGGCUCACUCCGGCUUUCUUCGCUCUACACCGUUUCAGUUCAUUUCUGCUGGACAGAGACUUAUCCGCGUGCCCUCGAUCUCCCCCCUUGAGGGGGAGAUGUCACGCAGUGA